rnacentral:lncRNA from 1 species
AUUGGUUAUGCAUGUACGUUUACAAAAAGCCUCACCAACUAAUUGUAAUACUCAGACAACAAAUAAGAACCAUCACAAGAAAUUCAAUAAACCGAUCUGAAAAUGAAAUAUUCAUUUGCCCCUCUAACCUGCUUCAAUGAUAUAAAUCAGUAAAUGCAAGCAUCAGCUGAUUCUGUAUCAUCUCACAAAUGUUAAAUUACAAGUAGAACAAAUAAAACAUCUGUUACUGCACAUUCAAUGUCUUCACAAGCUGGCAAGUUUGGGAAGGCGUUGGAAAUUCUUGAUGGCACGGCUCAUCCACUACCCUUUCUGGAAGAAAGAAGAAAAUCUAGAGCCAAAUUUUGGUAAACACACCAGACUAGAGGUUGUCUCUCAGCCAUUUUAGAGCACUGUUUGCAACGGAAUACACAUCUGAAGAACAGAAUACUCUACACAUGAAAACAGACUCCAUAUAUAAUCUCGAGAGCUUAGAGUAUAUGAUAGGGAAGGGAAGCGACCCUAAAAACAAAGUUCCACUGAAGUUUAUAAGAAAAUGAGUUUGGAACUAUCUAUUCGGCUCUUGAAAUGUCUAAACCACAAUGGAUAGUGAUUAGAGCUGAGGUAGUGUUUGGUUGCUCUCCCCAAAAAGUUGACACAAAAUUAAUGGGUG